AGCUCCAAUAGCAUAUAUUAAAGUUGUUGCGGUUAAAAAGCUCGUAGUUGGAUUUCUGCCAAGGGCAACCGGUCUGCCCACUGGGUAUGUAUCUGGCUUGGCUUGGGCAUCUUCGUGGGGAGUGUGGCUGCACUUGGCUGUGUGGUGCAAGACCCAUGACAUUUACUUUGAGGAAAUUAGAGUGUUUCAAGCAAGCUUGCGCCUUGAAUACAUGAGCAUGGAAUAAUUGUUCAAGGCCUUGGCUCUUUUUGUUGGUUUCUAGGGCAAGGGCUAAAAUUAAGAGGGAUAGUUGGGGGCACUUGUAUUUAACUGUCAGAGGUGAAAAUCUUGGAUUCGUUAAAGACAAACCCAUGCAAAAGCAUUUGCCAAGGAUGUUUUCA
rnacentral:rRNA from 1 species